rnacentral:rRNA from 1 species
GAUGAACGCUAGCGGCAGGCUUAAUACAUGCAAGUCGUGGGGCAGCAUGAGUGUAGCAAUACAAUUGAUGGCGACCGGCAAACGGGUGCGGAACACGUACACAACCUCCCAAUAAGUGGGGAAUAGCCCAGAGAAAUUUGGAUUAAUACCCCGUAACAUAACGAUGUGGCAUCACAUUGUUAUUAUAGAUUUUUCGCUUAUUGAUGGGUGUGCGGCUGAUUAGAUAGUUGGCGGGGUAACGGCCCACCAAGUCUACGAUCAGUAGCUGAUGUGAGAGCAUGAUCAGCCACACGGGCACUGAGACACGGGCCCGACUCCUACGGGAGGCAGCAGUAAGGAAUAUUGGACAAUGGACGCAAGUCUGAUCCAGCCAUGCCGCGUGAAGGAUUAAGGUCCUCUGGAUUGUAAACUUCUUUUAUAAGGGACGAAAAAAGGCUUUUCUAAGUCGUCUGACGGUACCUUAUGAAUAAGCACCGGCUAACUCCGUGCCAGCAGCCGCGGUAACAC